CUGCUCGAGCAGCAUUUAAAUGCUGCUCGACCAGCAAAAUACUGCUCGACCAGCAAAUUUACUGCUCGACCAGCAUUUUUUCUGCUCGAGCAGAAAAAUCCUGCUCGACCAGCAUUUAUUUUUAGAUUAUGGCAUUAGCCAAUCAGAACUCUUGUUAUAUUUGCCAUUUGGUGCAAAACUGGUUUGUUUGGAAAAAAUGGCUGCCGCCGUGAUGGUGCCUUUUUCACAUCUUCUGCAAGUUUAUGUGACGAUCUGUUUAAAGUUUAACAUUGACACGCGGUGGACUUCAAUAUGUAUGAUCUACUUAUGCUGCCACAAUGUAAAGGCAACAAUCACUGGGUUUUGCUGGUUGCAAGUGUUAUGUCCAGGACUGUAACCAUUUACGACUCAUUGGGUGGUAACAACAAGGCCUUGUUCGAUUUGUUCUGCCAGUUCAUGUGUCAACGAGGGCAAAUUGUGAAAGAUGGCUUGGAAAAAAUCAGUUCAGAGUUAAAAGCGCCACCUUGCAACAAACAGCGCCACGGAAACAGCUGUGGAGUGUUUGCAUUGAUGGUAAUAAAUAAGCUUUAUAUUUCUAUAUAGGUGUCACUUUGUCGUACUGUCGGUCGGUCUGUCUCGAAAUUUCAUCCGAUCUUCACCAAACUUGGUCACAAGUUGUAUCUUGAUGAUGUUUAGGCCAAGUUUGAAUAUGGGUCAUGCUGGGUCAAAAACUAGGUCACGGGGUCACUUAGUGUGUUUUAAACCGAAAGUUUGUCCGGACCAUAACUAUGUCAUUUAUCGUUAGAUUUUAAAAUAACUUGGUACAUUUGUUCACCAUCAUGGAACGGUGUGUUGCGUGAAAAAAGUACGUCGAUAUCCCCAAGAUCAAGGUCACACUUGGAGUUCAAGGGUCAAAUGCUUGUCCGGGCCAUAACUUUAUCAUUUAUUGUGAGAUUUUAAAAUCAUUUAGCAAAUUUGUUCACCAUCAUGGGGCGGUGUGUCGCGCGAAAGAAUUACUUCAAUAUCUCGAAGGUCAAGGUCACACUUUGAGUUCAAAGAUUAAAAAUGGCCAUAAAUGAGCUUGUCUGGGCAAUAACUAUGUCAUUCAUAGUGAGAUUUUAAAAUCAUUUGGCACAUUUGUUCACCAUCAUUGGACGGUGUGUCGCGCGAAAGAAUUACGUCGAUAACUCCAAGUUCAAGGUCACACUUUGAGUUCAGAGGUAAAAAAAGGCCAUGUUGAUAACUCCAAGGUCUUGGUCACACUUGGAGUUCAAAAGUAAAAAAAAAUGGCCAUACAUUUGGACUGCAUGUCAUGCUAAAGAAUUCAAGAGUUCAAAGGUCAAAAUGGCCAUAAAUGAUAAUGGCAUUAUCAUUCUUAAACAUAGCCAUAAAUUUGAUUCUCUUGUUUUUUGAAGACAGCAUGCAAAAUAGUCUGUGUCAAUUCGGCCGUGGGGGUAUUUGUCACGUCUGUGACAAAGCUCUUGUUUGCUUAGUAAAGAUCUGCAUUAACUUUUAUUCAACAAAAUAAUGGGAGAAUGUAGAAUAUAAUCAUCGUACCUUUCUGUUGGUGCAUUGGUUUUUAGAGCCUUGCAUUUUCUUUUAAUUUAUAAAGGACAUGAUAUUUCAUAUGUAAUAUCAUAACCUGAGGAUCAAACUGUGUUAUAGAGUCUUUUGUCAAAUAACCCUGAAAAAAGGUUAAACAAGAAGAUUACUCAUAUUUUAAUUUAUUAAUGUGUCAUAUAAUGAAAAAAAGCAUUCUCUUUGCUCCAAUAUAUUGUUUUGUAUGAAAAGUUGUUUUUCAGUGUCUUAAUGUGAUUGUAUAUUUAUGAUGCAUAAAACAUGAAUACUUUUCACUGUCAAACUAUCGUUCUUGCAAUUUUAUUUUCAGAAAUAGUAUUUUUUGUGAACACUUAAUCUAGUGAAUAUAUAUGCUUUUCUUAUUGCAAACAACUGUUGUUGUUUUUAUGCCCCCCUUCGAAGAAGAGGGGGUAUAUUGCUUUGCUCAUGUCGGUCGGUCUGUCGGUCUGUCCACCAGGUGGUUGUCAGACGAUAACUCAAGAACGCUUGGGCCUAGGAUCAUGAAACUUCAUAGGUAGAUUGAUCAUGACUCGCAGAUGACCCUUAUUGAUUUUGAGGUCACUAGGUCAAAGGUGAAGGUCACAGCGACCAGAAAUAGUAAAAUGGUUUUUGAAUGAUAACUCAAGAACGCAUACGCCUAGGAUCAUGAAACUUCAUGGGUAGAUUGAUCAUGACUUGCAGAUGACCCUAAUUGAUUUUGAGGUCACUAGGUCAAAGGUCCAGGUCACGGUGACCCGAAAUAGUAAAAUGGUUUCCGGAUGAUAACUCAAGAACGCAUACGCCUAGGAUCAUGAAACUUCAUGGGUAGAUUGAUCAUGACUCGCAGAUGACCCCUAUUGAUUUUGAGGUCACUAGGUCAAAGGUCAAGGUCACAGUGAUCCAAAAUAGUAAAAUGGUUUUCGGAUGAUAACUCAAGAACGCAUACACCUAGGAUCAUGAAACUUCAUAGGUAGAUUGAUCAUGACUUGCAGAUGACCCCUAUUGAUUUUAAGGUCACAAGGUCAAAGGUCAAGGUCACAGUGACCCGAAAUAGUAAAAUGAUUUUCAGAUGAUAACUCAAGAAUGCUUUUGCCUAGGAUCAUGAAACUUCAUGGGUAGAUUGAUCAUGACUCGCAGAUGACCCCUAUUGAUUUUGAGGUCACUAGGUCAAAGGUCAAGGUCACAGUGAUCCAAAAUAGUAAAAUGGUUUUCGGAUGAUAACUCAAGAACGCAUACACCUAGGAUCAUGAAACUUCAUAGGUAGAUUGAUCAUGACUUGCAGAUGACCCCUAUUGAUUUUAAGGUCACAAGGUCAAAGGUCAAGGUCACAGUGACCCGAAAUAGUAAAAUGAUUUUCAGAUGAUAACUCAAGAAUGCUUUUGCCUAGGAUCAUGACACUUCAUAGGUACAUUGAUCGUGACCCGCAGAUGACCCCUAUUGAUUUUCAGGUCACUAUUUUAACACAAGUAUGAAUGACUUUUACUUUAU